UUCCCAGGCCUGCAGUGGUGUUCUAGGGUUAAAGAAUACCUUGAAGUACAUACUUGAUCUGCUUGCCUUUGGAUUAUUUAAGUCCUCACAUGUCUGGGCUAGUACUGUUCAACAUAAGGAAGCGUCAGGACAAGCAUGCCCAUGAGAACUCUAAACUGUUCAGGUCACUUUACAUUGGUGAAACUGACAAUUGAAACUGCUAUAGUUGAUGGGCGAAAUUUCUUCUAGACUUUUCAUCAUCCCAGUUUCAUCCUAGUUGAAAAUAUUUCAAUGCCAUAAGAAAUCUGUAGAUUUGCACUUAGCUGCAGAUGGACAUUUCUUUGAUAGUUUCUGUGAUGGAGAGAACUGUGUUAUAGCCUGGUCCAAGGACAUUCCCAUCUAAUGCGCAUCAACCACAGUGUGGGUGAGGAAGGUUCCAAAGAGAAGGAACAACCGUCAAGUUUGCAGACACCCUGAAACAUGGAAGCAAUGAAGCUUUAAAAGCACAGCCUUGGAGAUACUCCAUGAGUCUACUCUGCUUUCAGGCGAACUAGCAC
rnacentral:lncRNA from 1 species